GCAUCACACAGUUGAUUUCACAUAUCACAUGUCUAUAGAGAAUGUAAGACUCAGUGUUCUGAGUCUACAUGUACAACGAGUAAUGUAGACUUUGUCUCCAAGAGUAUCAAAAUAUUUUGCAUAGUAAACUUUCGUAUUCAUAAUGAUACCUAUCAUACAACAUAGAUGGAGCUUUUGGACUAGUUUACAAAGCUAAUGCGGCAAAGAAAUUUAGGUUGUGCAAUGAAUUAUGGAAUAUUGACACAUGCAAUAAAAGUAAAGUUAUGGGCAUGCAACAAUUUUGACAUAAUUAAAAGUACCUUAAUAUUCUGAGUCAUUGAUACUUUACUUACAGUUUAUUUACAAAUGUUCGUCUGGUCUCUAGAUGCAAAGUGCCCGAGUUGUCACCCCCUUAAAAAAAGCAACAUAAAC
rnacentral:lncRNA from 1 species